UACGUAGGGAGCAAGCGUUGUUCGGAUUUACUGGGCGUAAAGGGCGCGUAGGCGGCAAUUCAAGUCAGUUGUGAAAUCUCCGAGCUUAACUCGGAACGGUCAACUGAUACUGUCUUGCUAGAGUACAGAAGGGGCAAUCGGAAUUCUUGGUGUAGCGGUGAAAUGCGUAGAUAUCAAGAGGAACACCUGAGGUGAAGACGGGUUGCUGGGCUGAUACUGACGCUGAGGCGCGAAAGCUAGGGUAGCAAACGGG
rnacentral:rRNA from 1 species